CGCGGCCUAUCAGCUUGUUGGUGGGGUGAUGGCCUACCAAGGCUUCGACGGGUAGCCGGCCUGAGAGGGUGUCCGGCCACACUGGGACUGAGAUACGGCCCAGACUCCUACGGGAGGCAGCAGUGGGGAAUAUUGCACAAUGGGCGCAAGCCUGAUGCAGCGACGCCGCGUGGGGGAUGACGGCCUUCGGGUUGUAAACCUCUUUCAAUAGGGACGAAGGGCAAGUGACGGUACCUAUAGAAGAAGCACCGGCCAACUACGUGCCAGCAGCCGCGGUAAUACGUAGGGUGCGAGCGUUGUCCGGAAUUACUGGGCGUAAAGGGCUUGUAGGUGGUUUGUCGCGUUGUUCGUGAAAUGCCACAGCUUAACUGUGGGCGUGCGGGCGAUACGGGCAGACUGGAGUACUGCAGGGGAGACUGGAAUUCCUGGUGUAGCGGUGGAAUGCGCAGAUAUCAGGAGGAACACCGGUGGCGAAGGCGGGUCUCUGGGCAGUAACUGACGCUGAGGAGCGAAAGCGUGGGGAGCGAACAGGAUUAGAUACCCUGGUAGUCCACGCCGUAAACGGUGGGUACUAGGUGUGGGUUUCCUUCCUUGGGAUCCGUGCCGUAGCUAACGCAUUAAGUACCCCCGCCUGGGGAGAAUCAC
rnacentral:rRNA from 1 species